CCUACGGGAGGCAGCAGUGGGGAAUAUUGCACAAUGGGGGAAACCCUGAUGCAGCUAUGCCGCGUGUGUGAAGAAGUACUUCGUUAUGUAAAGCUCUAUCAUCGGGGAAGAAAAUGACGGUACCUGAGUAAGAUGCCCCUGCUAACUACGUGCAAGCAGCCGCGGUAAUACGUAGGGGGCAAGCGUUAUCCGGUUGUACUGGGUGUAAAGGGAGCGGAGACGGCCGUGCAAGACUGGAGUGAAAGGCGGGGGCUCAACCCCCGGACGGCUCUGGAAACUGUACGGCUAGAGUGCAGGAGAGGGAAGUGGAAUUCCUAGUGUAGCGGUGAAAUGCGUAGAUAUUAGGAGGAACACCAGUGGCGAAGGCGGCCUACUGGACUGUAACUGACGCUGAGGCACGAAAGCGUGGGGAGCAAACAGGAUUAGAUACCCUAGUAGUC
rnacentral:rRNA from 1 species